rnacentral:rRNA from 1 species
GUGGGGAAUAUUGGACAAUGGGGGGAACCCUGAUCCAGCCAUGCCGCGUGUGUGAAGAAGGCCUUUUGGUUGUAAAGCACUUUAAGCGAGGAGGAGGCUACCGAGAUUAAUACUCUUGGAUAGUGGACGUUACUCGCAGAAUAAGCACCGGCUAACUCUGUGCCAGCAGCCGCGGUAAUACAGAGGGUGCAAGCGUUAAUCGGAUUUACUGGGCGUAAAGCGCGCGUAGGUGGCCAAUUAAGUCAAAUGUGAAAUCCCCGAGCUUAUCUUGGGAAUUGCAUUCGAUACUGGUUGGCUAGAGUAUGGGAGAGGAUGGUAGAAUUCCAGGUGUAGCGGUGAAAUGCGUAGAGAUCUGGAGGAAUACCGAUGGCGAAGGCAGCCAUCUGGCCUAAUACUGACACUGAGGUGCGAAAGCAUGGGGAGCAAACAGGAUUAGAUACCCGUGUAGUCC